CGGGCGGACGGGUGAGUAACGCGUGGGUAACCUGCCUCAUACAGGGGAUAACAGUUAGAAAUGACUGCUAAUACCGCAUAAGACCACGGUACCGCAUGGUACAGUUGGUAAAAACUCCGGUGGUAUGAGAUGGACCCGCGUCUGAUUAGGUAGUUGGUGAGGUAACGGCCCACCAAGCCGACGAUCAGUAGCCGACCUGAGAGGGUGACCGGCCACAUUGGGACUGAGACACGGCCCAG
rnacentral:rRNA from 1 species